GUCGAACGCUGGCGGCAGGCCUAACACAUGCAAGUCGAGCGGAUGAAGCGAGCUUGCUCCUGGAUUCAGCGGCGGACGGGUGAGUAAUGCCUAGGAAACUGCCUGGUAGUGGGGGAUAACGUCCGGAAACGGGCGCUAAUACCGCAUCUGUUCUGAGGGAGAAAGUGGGGGUUCUUCGGACCUCACGCUAUCAGAUGAGCCUAGGUCGGAUUAGCUAGUUGGUGGGGUAAAGGCCUACCAAGGCGAAGAUCCGUAACUGGUCCGAGAGGAUGAUCAGGCACACUGGAACUGGGACACGGUCCAGACUCCGACGGGAGGCAGCAGUAGGGAUGAUUGGACAAUGGGCGAAAGCCUGAGCCAGCCGUGGCGCGUGUGUGAAGAAGGUCUUCGGAUUGUAGAGCUCUUUAAGUUGGGAGGAAGGGCAGUAAGUUAGUACCUAGCUGUUUUGACGUUACCAGCAGAAGAAGCACCGGCUAACUUCGUG
rnacentral:rRNA from 1 species